UGUUCUUACACUUCACCUUCUUUGGAAUGGGUGCCUGACCUCACUGGAAACUCAAGAAUUUGCCGAUACGACACUCCACCCUUUUCAAAGAUUCAGCGAGCUCCCAGAACACGCAAGUCGUCCUCAACUGGGCAGUGUGAGUUUCUUCCCAAGGUUGGCCCUGUUGUUGUUCAGGUGCUGCCUGUGAGCAGACACCCACAGAAGACGGAAAAGAUGAAUCCGCAGAUUGCUACACACACAUGAUCAUCUAGGUGAGUGGCAAACACUACAGGGUUGGUUCUACCAAUA
rnacentral:lncRNA from 1 species